rnacentral:rRNA from 1 species
AUUGAACGCUGGCGGCAGGCUUAACACAUGCAAGUCGAGCGGAGCGAGGGUGCUUGCACCUUAGCUUAGCGGCAGACGGGUGAGUAAUGCUUAGGAAUCUGCCUAUUAGUGGGGGACAACAUUCCGAAAGGAAUGCUAAUACCGCAUACGCCCUACGGGGGAAAGCAGGGGAUCUUCGGACCUUGCGCUAAUAGAUGGGCCUAAGUCGGAUUAGCUAGUUGGUGGGGUAAAGGCCUACCAAGGCGACGAUCUGUAGCGGGUCUGAGAGGAUGAUCCGCCACACUGGGACUGAGACACGGCCCAGACUCCUACGGGAGGCAGCAGUGGGGAAUAUUGGACAAUGGGCGGAAGCCUGAUCCAGCCAUGCCGCGUGUGUGAAGAAGGCCUUUUGGUUGUAAAGCACUUUAAGCGAGGAGGAGGCUACUAGUAUUAAUACUACUGGAUAGUGGACGUUACUCGCAGAAUAAGCACCGGCUAACUCUGUGCCAGCAGCCGCCGUAAAAC